GUCUCCGGCAGGGGCCGCGGAAGCCCGGCCACGUGGGUCAAGCCGCUCCGCCCCCGGCCUCGUCGUCCCGCCCCCCGGCCUCGUCGUCCAGUCCCCGCGCCAGAGCCGCCGCCGCUGCCGCCGCCGCUCGGGCCUGCUGCAGCCCGUCUCAAUAAUUAGUGCGACGCAGAGAACCUGAUGCCACCUCUCCGGAUUGUCCCAAGCCGUUUACUUUCCCAGCUGUAUUGUGGAUUGAAACCUCCAGCCUCUAUACAAACCAAGAUUUGCCUGACAAUGGCUCGUCCAAGUUCAAGUAUGGCUGACUUCCGGAAGUGUUUUGCAAAAGCCAAGCACAUAGUCAUCAUUUCAGGGGCUGGCGUCAGUGCUGAGAGUGGGGUACCGACUUUCAGAGGAGCGGGAGGUUAUUGGAGAAGAUGGAAGGCUCAGGACCUGGCCACCCCUCAGGCCUUUGCCCGAAACCCAUCCCAGGUGUGGGAGUUCUACCACUACCGGCGGGAGGUGGUGCAGAGCAAGGAGCCCAACGCCGCUCAUCUGGCCAUCGCUGAGUGUGAGGCCCGGCUGGGCAGGCAGGGCCGACGGGUCACGGUCAUCACGCAGAACAUCGACGAGCUGCACCGCAAGGCUGGCACCAAGAACCUUCUGGAAAUCCAUGGUUAUGCAGUCCAGGAGGGCAGAUGUUCUGGCUUGUUCAGUAGUACUGCAUGCCUUUAUUAUGUUCCCUGCGAUGCCUGGGGUAGCUUAUUUAAAACUCGAUGUACCUCUUGUGGAGUUGUGGCUGAGAAUUACAAGAGUCCAAUUUGUCCAGCUUUAUCAGGAAAAGGGGCUCCAGAACCUGAAACUCAAGAUGCCAGAAUCCCAGUGGAGAAACUUCCCCGGUGUGAAGAGGCAGCAUGCGGGGGCCUGCUGCGACCUCACGUGGUGUGGUUUGGAGAAAACCUGGACCCUGCCAUCCUGGAGGAGGCUGGCAGGGAGCUGGCCCUCUGUGACUUGUGUCUCGUGGUUUCAUUUCCAGGGGCCAUGUGGAACGACGCUUCCUGAAGCCCUUGCGCCUCAUGAAACUGAAACUGUUUCUUAAUUGCCCUGAGGAAGGAAGAAAUCACAGUGCAUCUAUAAGUACCAGGCCACCAACAGGAGAAACAGUCUUGUGGAUGGAAUUGCUUCCAAAUCAGAGCAGAGGAAAAGCGAAUUGAAAAUACUCCACAAUUUAUGUGAGGUAGGAUUAUUCAGUUCAAUUCAAUAUUUACUGAACAUCUGCCGUAUGACAGACAUUAGAAGUACAGUGCUUAGAGAGAGAUGGACCAUCCCUCAAGGAGUUCACAAAGACUGGGUUGGGACAAUUGUCAUAUGAACUGGUAAACAGCGUGGAAGCUAUAGUUACAGAAAUGUGUUCAAGAUUCAGAGAAUGCCAUUAGAGAUGAGCAGAGUGGGGAUGGGGUCGAUCUUAAGGUGCUUGGAAGUCUUUAAGAGGAAGUCAGCCUGGGUGGGAGUUUUUGAAGGUAUAAAUAGGAGUUCCAAGGGCAGAGUGUGUGUCACUAGGGCAUGUCCAAAUGCAAGGUAAAUAUGAAAUAGCUUGGUUUGUUCAGAGAAAGAUGAAUCAUUUGCUAUCGUAUAAUGGGUGAGAGAAGAUAAACACAAAGGUCAUGAAGGGCCACGUAUGCUAGGAA